rnacentral:rRNA from 1 species
AUGGUGUCAGAACUCAUCAACUCGGUCACCUCUUCCUGGGAUGUCGAUGUGCUUGAAACACACCUCUAUGCAAUGGACAAGGAAGCAAUCCUCAACAUCCCUCUCAGCUCUCGAGUCCACGACAAUUUCUGGGCUUGGCAUUAUGAACGCAAGGGCGUUUUCACGAUCGCCGGUCCUAGUCUAGACUAUGGGGUGUCGCAGUUCCCUCAAAAGUACGGGUCUUCACCUGGAGGUUGGCCAAGAGCUCGAUCCCAACCGGAGAGGUCCGAAAACACCGAAUUUCUAGCAGAGCUCGAGAUGAUGCCAUACAAGAAACCACAUCCCAAGGACCUACAUGUAACUUCAGGGGACCUGCAUGUGACUAGAAGUAGCCAGGGGGAUUCACCUUCACAUGCGUGGCUCCCGCCUGAGCACCAUGAUGUUAAACUGAAUGUUGAUGCAUACUUUUCGAAGAUCGGAGACCACGCAGCUGCAGUAGUGAUCUGCAGGGACAAACGAGGAAACUACUUGGGUGCCUCGUCCAUCAUCUAUGAAGGCCGCCUCGACCCAACUAUACUCGAAGCACAGGCAUGUUGCGAGGCCCUCUCUCUCGCCUUGGAUUUGCAGGGUGCAGUUGCUCAAAAAAAUUGGCCUUGCCUAAUCUACCUGGGACCUACGCUAUGGGUUAAUGGAGAACUUACUAAUCCAGUUGUACCCUCUAGAGGUAUCCAACAAGGUGCCCUUAUUUGUUCCUCUUGUGUACUGAAGGGUUCCGGGCAGUUGGUCAACAAGGAUAAAUCUUCUUUGUUCUUUGGGAAGCAUUGUCCGGAGCAUGUCAAACAGCGAGUUAAAAAUCUGUUGGGGAUCUCAAAUGAAGCUUUAAAUGACUACUAUCUUGAAGUUCGUCAGAUUAUUGCUGAUGAGUGGUGGGGCCGUGAAGAUGGGAAAAGGAAAUUGCAUUGGUGCUCUUGGGAGUGGCUUACUACACCUAAGGCGCUUGGUGGUAUGGGCUUCCGUGACAUGGCCCUUUUCAAUCUUGCUAUCCUUGCCAAACAAGGAUGGAGGUUGUUGACAGACCCGUCUUCACUAUGUGCUCGCGUUUUGAAAUGCCGGUAUUUCCAACAUCCAAUUUCUGGAACACAAUGGCACCGAGAAGACGCUGAAGCUAAUCAAAAUCAGCAGCAAACGGCAGUCACCGCUCUCAUGACAUUUCACGCGUGCGACAUGAACAACAAGCGUCAAACACCUCGCUGCAUACAGAAUCAAAGGACACAGGAGGGAAAACAGGCGCACCGUCGACGUUGUCCUCCUCGUCCCCGGACUCCCAGUGAUGGGGCUACCCCAGUGAAGGGCGGCUCCGGUGGCGAAGGGCAUGGCGGGCGGCUCCAGCGGCGAAGGGCGUGGCUGGUGGCUCAGGCGGCUAACGGCUGCGAGAGGAACGGUGGGGCGGCGAACGGCGCGAGAGGAGGAGGGGGCGAGAGGUCGAGAUCGCGCGGGCGGGGCGAGAGGACAUGGGGGCUUGUGCUGCCAAGUUCUCGUAUGAAAAAACAGAAUGCUAGAAUUAACUUCCUGGAUAUAAUUGGGAGAAAAGGACAUGUCGCCAUUGUUACCAGUCAUCAUGUUUGUCUCCAAUUGCACUAUCAAUCAACAAAUGGUUGCCUUUUGUUCCUUCUCAGUGAAGGAAACGAUCUCAGUUUUGAAGACAAAAGUAACAUGCCAACAAUACCAAACACAAGUGCUACUACAUUCUACCUUAUAAGAAUGAACAACAAAUGGUUGGAAAAUAGUGAUUUAGCGCUCACAAUUCACAAUGAAGACAUGACUACACGAACAAUCCAUUCACAACUUGGGAGUUUUAUUUGGUUCUGGCUUAUUCUAGAUUACAACAUUUGGGCUAUGUCACUAUUGUACUUGCUCGAAUCUGUAGCCUGCUUCUCUUCUCUCUCCUCUUCAAACGCGUGCCUCACCCACACUAUCCCGACGGGCCCCGAGACCACCACAAGCGGCUCCACCCGCAUUGUUCGGCACUGUUGUGGUUAUGGUGGUGACGGGGUUGAGCUGCCCUGCAUUGUUGUAUCCCAUGCUUACUGCAUGCUUGUACACCCUGCCUGA